CCUACGGGCGGCAGCAGUGGGGAAUAUUGCACAAUGGGGGAAACCCUGAUGCAGCGACGCCGCGUGAGUGAAGAAGUAUCUCGGUACGUAAAGCUCUAUCAGCAGGGAAGAAGAUGACGGUACCUGACCAAGAAGCCCCGGCUAACUACGUGCCAGCAGCCGCGGUCACACGUAGGGGGCAAGCGUUAUCCGGAUUUACUGGGUGUAAAGGGGGCGCAUACGGGAAUGCAAGCCAGGAGUGAAAGCCCGGGGCCCAACCCCAGGACUGCUCUUGGAACUGCAUGGCUGGAGUACAGGAGGGGGAGGCGGAAUUCGUGGUGUAGCGGUGAAAUGCGUAGAUAGUAGGAGGAACACCGGUGGCGAAGGCGGCCUGCUGGACUGUGACUGACGUUGAGGCACGAAGGCGUGGGGAGCGAACAGGAUUAGAUACCCCAGUAGUC
rnacentral:rRNA from 1 species